rnacentral:rRNA from 1 species
UGGGGAAUAUUGGACAAUGGGGGGAACCCUGAUCCAGCCAUGCCGCGUGUGUGAAGAAGGCCUUAUGGUUGUAAAGCACUUUAAGCGAGGAGGAGGGUACUGGUAUUAAUACUACCAGGUACUGGACGUUACUCGCAGAAUAAGCACCGGCUAACUCUGUGCCAGCAGCCGCGGUAAUACAGAGGGUGCGAGCGUUAAUCGGAUUUACUGGGCGUAAAGCGUGCGCAGGCGGCUAAUUGAGUCGGAUGUGAAAUCCCCGAGCUUAACUUGGGAAUUGCAUUCGAUACUGGUUAGCUAGAGUGUGGGAGAGGAUGGUAGAAUUCCAGGUGUAGCGGUGAAAUGCGUAGAGAUCUGGAGGAAUACCGAUGGCGAAGGCAGCCAUCUGGCCUAACACUGACGCUGAGGUACGAAAGCAUGGGGAGCAAACAGG